rnacentral:rRNA from 1 species
GUGGCGAGUGGCGAACGGGUGAGUAAUAUAUCGGAACGUGCCCAGUCGUGGGGGAUAACGCAGCGAAAGCUGUGCUAAUACCGCAUACGAUCUCUGGAUGAAAGCGGGGGACUCGCAAGAGCCUCGCGCGAUUGGAGCGGCCGAUAUCAGAUUAGCUAGUUGGUGGGGUAAAAGCUCACCAAGGCGACGAUCUGUAGCUGGUCUGAGAGGACGACCAGCCACACUGGAACUGAGACACGGUCCAGACUCC